AUUCAGAGAGAAUUUCUGUGCAGAAGAAAACACUAAGCAUCUACAGAGGCCUGCCCUGGUGACUUCUGACAGACUCAGUUUCCCCAUCUGAUCACUCCAGAUUUGCCUGGGCCUGGUAAGGCACAUGCUGAGUAAAUUUAGUAACUUGGAAUGAUCAGGUUUUCUUUUGCUAAGGCAUUCCUGAGGAGGCCUUACAGACUGUGGUGCCUGUUCUUGGUUGUCAGCCUAACAUUUAGAAAGCACUAAAACAUGAAUGGCUGGACAGACCUGUGAAGGAGUUUUUCUUAACUAAAUCAUUUGAAGUGGGAGGAGCCACAUUUAUUUAUUAUUUAUCUUUGAGUUCAGAAGACCUACGGGCCCCACCUUCUGCUGGGAGUCUGUAUAAGGACAUGAAAAGAGGAAGCAUUUGCUCUUUACCUGCUGGCAAGUCCAUUCCUUAGUGGCAUCGGAGCUGACUUCGAGAUUCCAGUGUACGCUGAAGACCAGCUUUGAUAUGCAGUUCCAUGGACUGAGCAACUACUGGAUUCUUGGACCUUCUGUUGGUAGACAGCUGUUGUGGAGUAGCUGGACCACAGCCUUCAGUCAUCUUCCUGGGCCCCAAAACAAUGGAGAUAUGUUUACUUCUUCCUUAAGAGAGAUUCCAGUGGACUGCACAGAGAUGGAGUUUUCACUCCUUAAAACCCCGAGGAUAUGUAGCACCUAUCACAUUUUCUAGAGGGCUAGAGAUAUCUCCAGAAUGUAGUAGAUAUUUGUUCUAUAAUAAAGUUUUUU